GAUCAGAAUAAACAGGGAGCCAGCCAAAGGCUCCCGGUGCAGGUGGCAUGGACAUUUGCGGUUUGGAUGUUAAGAAGGAGGCUUGGGGUUGAAGGCGUCCUAGGAGGGAAACACAGCAAGUGCAAAGGCUGCUAGGGCCAAGCACAUUCUCUUUUGACUUAAACCAGCUUGGACUGACUAAAAAAAAAAUUUUUUUUUUUUUUUUUCCUGACUUAGAACCUUUAGAAUGCAGAGCCCUGUAGUGCGCCGGGAAGGGUGUAGUACUCAGCGCUGCCACAGGAGGGCCUGCCGGGAUCCGGACGCUGUGCGGGGUGGGGGGGUGGGGGGUGGGGAGACCGGGGACAUCGGAAAUGAGGCUGUGACACGAUGCUGGAGCGCUUGCUUUGAGGCCUGUUUUAAGUUCACAUCAGCCCAGUGAGAGCACACGGCCAGCGGCUUUCCUCCAGCCCGGCACUUUGUGACAUAGAUUUCAAAUAUGGCGCUUUUCUUGUCCUGCCCCACCCCGACGCGUCCAGAACAAGCUGUCUCUUUGCAUUGGGGAUCAUCUCCCAUUCCCCGGGGGAAGUCAUGCCCAGAUGGAACGGCACCCCGCCUUCUCCAGGGCGGCUCAGGUCUGGCAGAGGGGGCCCGAGUGUCAACUGGGAGUCAGGAAGCCGCUGGGGAGAGCCAGACCCCGCGAAUACUGGGAUGCGUCAAUGGGACUGUGGAUCUGAAGAACAGAAUGCUGAUGAUCCCCAGGAGGGUCUGAAGGUUAACGGGGGACUGGAGAAGGCCGGGCGCCUCCCGCCUCCUGCUGUGUGUC